rnacentral:lncRNA from 1 species
AACUCCCCUACUUUUGAGAAGACCAUCUCCCUACCGACGACAGUGGUGAAAUAUCAACUGAAGAAAUUUCAAGUUGGAAUUGUUUAUUAGGGCUAUGAAAUUCGUUUCCUGUUACGCAAAACAGUUUCUUCAAUAGUCUAAAUUUGUAAGUUCCUUUCUUGAGUUUGAGUUCAACUAGUACUUGCUUUUAGGUUUUUAAUAUUUGCUCUCCAUUGGUAUGUUAAUCGUUUGGUGUUUUCUUGUCUUAGACAUUGUUAUGUGUAUUGGUUUCUUUUAUUCUCCUCACCUUUUGAUCAUCUCGGCAAAUUAUACCAUUUUCUAUUAAAGAUUUCCUUGAUGUCAUUAUAUAAUUAAAUUUUAAAAGAGUAGAGACCACCCUUUUCUUUAUAAUGUUUGACCAAUCCCUCAGACACUGUCACAUAUGAAUUGGGUAAGCUUUUAAACUUUUUAAUAAUAUGAUGAAAGUUUUUGUUUUUGUUUAGUUCCUGGAUAACGGUCGGAAUUCGGGCUAUUGAUGGUGAUGAGUUUGUUAACUGAUAAAAGUUAUAUUUCUAUACUGAGUGGAAAACGUUCAUUUGAGCGUGAUGGAUAUGAGGCUCUAAUUUUCCGCCCAACUUCAAGCGCCCUAAGGUUGAUGCAAUUCGACAAUUUCCUAGAAAUUGUGGUGCACUUGCCCAUCAAGUCAGUGAAACAUGUAAUAGAGGUGGCACCUGUGUCGAAUCAGCCACCGAAAACUCGAAAAAAAUCGGAAGCCAUAGUCUACUACCA